ensembl:lncRNA
CAGCUCCUGGAAGAGGACAAGUAGGGGGGGGCUUUGGGGGCCAGGAAGAUGAAUUGUUCACCCUGAGCCAGAGGAGCUGCACGACACGCAGGUGGAUAGCAUCAGGCAUGGUCACGAGGCCCCUACCACCUCUGUCCCCAGUAGAGAUCUUAACCUUGGGGGGUCUCCCUCCCCUCCCCUCAUGUUAAUUCCCUGCACAGUGCCCACCACUGGGAAACAUUUCCUGUCGGUCCCUUCACUUUAUUUAGGCCCUUCUAAGCAAGGGCCUGUCCCUGUCUGGUCCUUGCUGUCACUGACUGUUUUCUCCAGGCUGGGGCUUUCCUUUCCAUUCCUCUCCUAUGCCUGUUUCCCUUGUGUCAACUUUCCCAGAAUAGGGCAUAAGCGACUUCCAGUUGGCAACAUCAGGGGCCCUGGCCAGCCCCAAACCUCUUUACUGGGCUGUUCCCGAGGUAUCGCUCUGGAAAUGCCCCAUGCCUGGCCUUCCCAGGUGGGUCGCCCUCACUGCCACCCCCCUCGUCCCCAGUGCUCCUCAGUCAGGGGUUCCCCUCUCCUGCUGAGGGCACUGUGGUGCGCAGCCAAUCGGGGUCCUUCCUGUGAAGGGAGGAGCUGUCCACUAACACUAAGCUUCCUGCCUGCCAGACAUCUGGAAGGCCAUUAGCUCCAACAGCAAGGUGGCACACCUGCAAGGCCCUGCAGGAGAGUGUGCCACCCCCGGGGCAGGCUGCACGGGAACGGGCAAGCCUAGCUGUGGCCUCAGUUGAGCUCUAAGCGGGGUCCACUGAAGCAGCACCCAUAUCUUCCCCAGCUGGAUCCCCCAACUGCCCACAUUGGGCCCCUGACCAUACCCCUCCCCUGGCCCCUCUCCCUCUGCCCCAGGUGCCACCAUUCCAGCCUGCCUAGGCCCUGGCCAGGACACAUUACCCUUACAAACACAGGCCUCAUGGGCUCCUAGGGGAAAAUGCUCUUUUGUCUUUUGUAUUUCACUUCUUAUCAGAGGAGAAAUCAUCCCAAAAAGGAUACAGAUGCAAGGGGCUCUUCCCAAAGAGGCCUGGCCUGGGCGGCUGGGGGUGUGGCCUGGCUUGGGGCCUGGGAAAGGGGGUAGAGGCCUGUGUCUAGAGCCCUGUUCUGUCUCACGGGGAACGGUGAGAUCUGAUCAUUCUGGGCCACUUGAUCUCCCCCGGAGGGUCAGGGUUCCUCUAUUGUAAUGGGGCCCUAACUUAAAGCCCCUGAAGUGAGCUGGCCUGAGAUUUUAUAGGUCUCCAAGAAGGAAUGAUGGCAGAAGGGCAGACAGCACCCAUCCUGCCACUGGGAACCUUCCUGGGGCAAUGCCAGGCCACUGGCAGCUCCCCCCAUUCUCCCCAUGCUCCUCCCUCAGACCCCCCAUUGUCCAUGAAACCCAAGCUCUCGGCCUCCUGUAUCCAGCAAUGACUGACCCCAUCCCCCUGGCUGCCAGGGCACCCUCUGCACCUGCAAAGCUGGGAACGACUAGAGCAGGUGUGAGGGACCUCGCAGGCCCUCUCCACAGGGAGAUAGGGCUGCCUUCUCACACAUCCCUAUGGCCAACCUCCCUGACAUGGAGGAGGGAGGGAAGGCGUGAGGUACACAGAGAUGAAGGGAGUGGGGAGGUGGCACUUGUGGGCCUGAUGCCCAGAAAGACGGGAGGUGGGUGGGGGGGUCGGGGCUGUGUUUUUGGUGGCACCUGUUUUGGGUCUUUUCAUGAGCUGGCCCCUCCCUGGGUUUUCAAGAGCUGCUCAGAUCACAACAGGGGGAAUUGGGAGGGAGUGUGGGGAAACUGGACAGAACUGGCACAUACACGACAGAUGUUUGCUCAGAGAAAAAUACAGUAAGAUCAUCAUGCAAAUAUAACGGAAAGUCUGCUUCUCACGCCACUGGCUUCCCAGCCUGCAUGUCUCCAUUUUGCCACCUGGGUGUGGGGAGGGGUCGAGGGCCAAGUCUGGGGGUUGGGGAGGUCUGCCUGCACAUCCAUGCCAGCCCAACUCCUCUGCUCCCAGGAACAGUCCCCUCCUUUGCAAAUGUCACCCCCUAGAGCGAGCCCUGGGCUCAGCCAAACCCAAGUUGAUGUGACAGAGGUGUUCAGUGGAGACCCCCAGCCCUCCUCCCAACCCCCCACUCCAGCACUAGGGGCCAGUGGCUCCCCCAGGGAUGGCACUAGCUUUCCUGGUCAGAGCCCCCUGCCCACAGUACGGGUCUCAGUCCCACCCCAGCAUCUACCCUCACCCCACAGUCUCAGUCCUGUCUGGAGAAGCCCAAGAGGGUGACAGGCCAGGAGCUGGGGAUCCCGGCAGGGACGUGGGGAAGCACAGAAGGCUCCCCCAUCCCGAGGUGGGUAGGGCGCUGGGGGCACAUCGGCAGGUGGGCAAAGCCGCCCGUAGAAUCACCCCCCACACACACACCUCCUACACAGGGGAAGGGACCAUAUCUCAGCCCCCAACCUGCUGACUGCUCAAGACCCCAAAAUUGCUCCUCGCUGGAACUUGUCCGCAGAAACCCCCGCUCUUGAGAAAGGCAGCCACAGCCCAGCCCUGCCCUCUGUCACCGCCCUCCGCUGCCGCCCACACUGAGAGAACCCCAGAGCCCAACGGUUGGUGGCUCUGAGACCAACUGCCAGGCACCGGGUUGCCAUGGAGACUGGGCCAGCUAGGGAGGGAGGGGAGCCCUCAAACUCAGCCUGCUCCCCCACCCCAGGGCAAUGAGGGGACCUCACUGUUUGUGCUUUGUUCGAUGUUGGGUAGGGGUCAGAGGGAAAGUGGCCGUUUCCAUGGAAACAUGGGAGCCCCUCUGGCCAGGAGAGCAGGAACCGGGCCCCUUCCGGCCCCCGUCGAUGUGGGAAGAAGUAAAGUGAUUCACGCUGUCCAUCUCCAAGGCACAGAGGGUGACCCAAGGAUCACAGCCCACAGACCACUUGAGCCAACCUUCACUUCCCAAGUAGGGAAAACUGAGUCCCGGGCCAGAGGAGGGCCAGUUGGGCUGUUAUGAGGCGGCAGGUGGCAGACACUAUCACUGUCCUUGGCCAGGCCACACAAAGCUUUCAAGGCUGGACAGACAUUGGCUCUGGGAUGGCAUGGCUCACAAGGUGCACUGAGCUCCAGCUGCAAGGCAGAGGGGGAAAAAGCAUUGAGACUGGAGGCAAAAGAUCCUAGGUUUGAAUGCUAAGCUGUAUGACACUGCCACAUUAGCUAACCUCUCUGGGCUUCGGUCUCUUCACCUGGAAGAUAAAGAGCAAGCAGGCAGUGGCCACACCAUGUUCAGGGACACGAAGAGCAG